rnacentral:rRNA from 1 species
GAUAAACGCUGGCGGCGUGCCUAACACAUGCAAGUCGAACGUCCUUCUUCGCAAGAAGGAGGGAGUGGCGGACGGGUGAGUAACACGUGGGUCAUCUGCCCCAAGAUGAGGAAUACUUCCGAGAAAUCGGAGACAAGACCGCAUAGCCUCUGCACAAGAGGAAAGCCCGCAAGGGCGUCUUGGGAUGGGCCUGCGCCUGAUUAGCUGGUUGGUGGGGUAAGAGCCUACCAAGGCGACGACGGGUAGCCGGCCUGAGAGGGCGACCGGCCACACUGGG